rnacentral:rRNA from 1 species
GACGAACGCUGGCGGCGUGCUUAACACAUGCAAGUCGAACGGAAAGGCCCUGCUUUUGUGGGGUGCUCGAGUGGCGAACGGGUGAGUAACACGUGAGUAACCUGCCCUUGUCUGUGGGAUAACUUCAGGAAACUGGGGCUAAUACCGCAUAGGAUCUCCUGCUGCACGGGGGUGGUUGGAAAGUUUCGGCGGUUGGGGAUGGACUCGCUGGUUAUCAGCUUGUUGGGGUGGUAGUGGAUGACCAAGCCUUUGACGGGUAGGCGGCCUGAGAGGGUGAACGGCCUCAUUGGGACUGAGAUACGGCCCAGAAUGCUACGGGAGGCAGCAGUGGGGAAUAUUGCAGAAUGGGCGGAAGCGUGAUGCAGCAACGCCGCGUGCGGGAUGACGGCCUUCGGGUUGUAAACAGCUUUCGCCGGUGACGAAGCGUGCGUGACGGUAAUGGGUAAAGAAGCACCGGCUAACUACGUG